UACGAAGGGGGCUAGCGUUGCUCGGAAUCACUGGGCGUAAAGCGCACGUAGGCGGCUUCUUAAGUCAGGGGUGAAAUCCUGGAGCUCAACUCCAGAACUGCCUUUGAUACUGAGGAGCUCGAGUCCGGGAGAGGUGAGUGGAACUCCGAGUGUAGAGGUGAAAUUCGUAGAUAUUCGGAAGAACACCAGUGGCGAAGGCGGGUCGCUGGGCCGAUACUGACGCUGAGGAGCGAAAGCGUGGGGAGCGAACCG
rnacentral:rRNA from 1 species